rnacentral:rRNA from 1 species
UACGUAGGGUGCAGGCGUUAAUCGGAAUUACUGGGCGUAAAGCGUGCGUAGGCGGUGUUCUAAGUUUGGUGUGAAAUCUCCCGGCUCAACCGGGAGGGUGCGCCGAAAACUGGGAUGCUGGAGUAUGGGAGAGGUAGGCGGAAUUCCUGGUGUAGCGGUGAAAUGCGUAGAUAUCAGGAGGAACACCAGCGGUGUAGACGGCUUACUGGACCAUCACUGACGCUGAGGCACGAAAGCGUGGGGAGCGAACAGG